UACGGGGGGGGCAAGCGUUGUUCGGAAUUACUGGGCGUAAAGGGCUCGUAGGCGGCCAACUAAGUCAGACGUGAAAUCCCUCGGCUUAACCGGGGAACUGCGUCUGAUACUGGAUGGCUGGAGGUUGGGAGAGGGAUGCGGAAUUCCAGGUGUAGCGGUGAAAUGCGUAGAUAUCUGGAGGAACACCGGUGGCGAAGGCGGCAUCCUGGACCGGCAUUGACGCUGAGGCGCGAAAGCCAGGGGAGCAAACGGG
rnacentral:rRNA from 1 species